rnacentral:rRNA from 1 species
CGGAGCAUGCGGAUUAAUUCGAUGCAACGCGAAGAACUUACCAAGGCUUGACAUACACCGGUAACGCCCAGAGAUGGGUGCCCCUUUGUGGUCGGUGGACAGGUGGUGCAUGGUUGUCGUCAGCUCGUGUCGUGAGAUGUUGGGUUAAGUCCCGCAACGAGCGCAACCCUCGUCCUAUGUUGCCAGCGGGUCAUGCCGGGGACUCAUGGGAGACUGCCGGGGUCAACUCGGAGGAAGGUGGGGAUGACGUCAAAUCAUCAUGCCCCUUAUGUCUUGGGCUUCACGCAUGCUACAAUGGCCGGUACAAAGGGCUGCGAUACCGCGAGGUGGAGCGAAUCCCAGAAAGCCGGUCUCAGUUCGGAUUGGGGUCUGCAACUCGACCCCAUGAAGUCGGAGUCGCUAGUAAUCGCAGAUCAGCAACGCUGCGGUGAAUACGUUCCCGGGCCUU